rnacentral:rRNA from 1 species
AGUCUGUACGUCGUCCCAAACUCACUGCAGUCUUCCGUUUUCUUAAUUGAAUGCGGUAGUUUCUGCAGUCACUCCAUUGAUCAAAUUAGGUUGUUCAAGGUAGACAAAGUCUUCAUAUUUUCACAUGGAAUUGGGUGAGGGAACUUAAGAGUUUAAGUUUCUCGUCUUAGGAUCAUCCGGGGUCAUUCGUACUCGUCCGCGAGAGGUGAAAUUCUUGGACCGGACGAAGACGACCAGCAGCGAAAGCAUCUGUCAGGGAUGUUUUCUGCGACAAAGGACGAAGGUCAGGGUAUCGAAGACGAUUAGAUACCGUCGUAGUCCUGACUGUAAACUAUGCCAACUUGGGUCUUGCUGGGCGAUGCUUUGUGAGACCCACACAGAAAUGAAAGUGUAUGGGUUCUGGGGGUAGUAUGGACACAAGUCUGAAACUUGAAGGAAUUGACGGAAGAGCACCAUAAGACGUUGAGCUUGCGGCUUAAUUUGACUCAACGCGGGAAAACUUACCAGGUCAAGACAUGGGCGUGAUUGACAGGCUAAUGACUUUUCUCGAUUCCAUGGAUGGUGGUGCAUGGUCGCACUUAGUUGGUGCAGUGAUUUGUCAGGUUUAUUCCGGUAACGAACGAGACCUCGGCCUUGUAAAUAGCUAUGCUGCUUACAGGGACAUUGGCUGCUACGCCAAGGAAGCUCGAGGCAAUUGCAGAUCUGGAAUGCCCUUAGAUGUCCUGGGUCGCACGCGUGCUACAAUGACGCCACGAACGAGCUUGCAUGAUGAAAGUUAUGCAUAAUCAGCAGUCGGCGUCUUAAGGGAUAGUCUCUUGUAACUGUGGGACUCCAACUAGGAAUGUCUCGUAAGCACAAGUCAACAUCUUGUGUUGAUUACGUCCCUGCUCUUUGUACACACCGCCCGUCGCUCCUACCGAUCGAGUGUUUAGGUGAAUUUGAUGGACGUAAGGAAGUCAAAUAAACCUGAGCACUUAGAGGAAGGAGAAGUCGUAACAAGGUUUCCGUAGGUGAACCUGCGGAAG